UACGUAGGGUGCAAGCGUUAAUCGGAAUUACUGGGCGUAAAGGGCUCGUAGGCGGCCAACUAAGUCAUACGUGAAAUCCCUCAGCUUAACUGGGGAACUGCGUGUGAUACUGGAUGGCUUGGAUUUGGGAGAGGGAUGCGGAAUUCCAGGUGUAGCGGUGAAAUGCGUAGAUAUCUGGAGGAACACCGGUGGCGAAGGCGGCAUCCUGGACCAAUAUUGACGCUGAGGAG
rnacentral:rRNA from 1 species